UACGAAGGGGCUAGCGUUGCUCGGAAUCACUGGCGUAAGCGCACGUAGGCGGAUCGUUAAGUCGGGGUGAAAUCCUGGAGCUCAACUCCAGAACGUGCCUCCGAUACUGGCGAUCUUGGAGUCCGGGAGAGGUGAGUGGAACUCCGAGUGUAGAGGUGAAAUUCGUAGAUAUUCGGAAGAACACCAGUGGCGAAGGCGGCUCACUGGCCCGGUACUGACGCUGAGGUGCGAAAGCGUGGGGAGCAAACAGG
rnacentral:rRNA from 1 species